rnacentral:tRNA from 1 species
UGGAUCACCUCCUAACAGGGAGAACCAACCUCAAAUGAUGAUCACCACUUUUUAGUGAUCCAUUUGACUGUUCAUUCCUAUGGUCGAUCGGUACCUCAGUGAGUGCUUGUCACUCAUCUCGGUCCUUAAGCUUGUCUAGGUCACCACUCCUUAGCUGCUAAGCUUUGUGAGAUGGGCCCGAGAGGGUUCCUGGGCCAUUAGCUCAGGUGGUUAGAGCGCACCCCUGAUAAGGGUGAGGUCCCUGGUUCAAGUCCAGGAUGGCCCAUCGGGAUUGGGGGUUUAGCUCAGCUGGUAGAGCGCCUGCUUUGCAAGCAGGAUGUCAGCGGUUCGAGUCCGCUAACCUCCAUCAAUCUUGAUGUUGGAACACUGUGGUACAGGGUGAUUUAGACGGAUCUUGGUGAAUCCAGCCUCGUUUGAUUCUUGUUAAUCAAGCUCAAACGAUGCUGGACUCAGCAAUGGGUUCAGCAAGAACCUUGACAACUGCAUAGGUGAGUCUGGAAAUAAGCAUCUCACAGAGAUGAUCCAGCAUUUGAUGAUUCCAUGUUUACAUGGUUUUGUCAUUGUAUGGAUCAACAAUUCUGGAGAAAGCCGAGUCCUGAUUGAAUAGAUCAGGAACGAAAUGGUCAAGCUACAAAGGGCUCACGGCGGAUACCUUGGCACACAGAGGCGAUGAAGG